UACCCCAUUGUUUACCUUCCCAUGUUGCUUUCACUAGACAGGUUUAGCUUGUACAAGCUGAACCCCUUUGGCUAAUGCAUAUGCAUUGGCUGAGGAGUGCUAGUGAGGCCAAAUAUCCAAAACCUUUUUGAAAACGCUUGUCUGAACUCAAUUUGAAACAUUAAAAACUUUCAACAACGGAUCUCUAGGCUCUUGCAUCGAUGAAGAACGCAGUGAAAUGCGAUAAGUAAUGUGAAUUGCAGAAUCUCGUGAAUCAUCGAAUCUUUGAACGCACAUUGCGCCUUAUGGUAAUCCGUAAGGCAUGCCUGUCUGAGCGUCAUAUGCCGACACCUCAAGCUUCUCCAGCUUGGAUUGCCUUGGAAAAGCACUCGCUACUUGAGCUGCCUUCCAGAAAUCUAUUGGCGGUAUGGUUGCUUUUGAACCAAACGUAAUAUCUUAAAAAUCGUUUGCUCAAGGCAUUGUACUUGCCUUCAACCCACCCUUUAUCAUACUUGGGUGACCUCAGAUCAGGUAGGGAUACCC
rnacentral:rRNA from 1 species